AAACGACCUGCUCAGCUGCUCUGGUUAUUCGUCAUAAUCUUCGUUUAGAAUGGGAAGGCCAGCGUCCAAGAUCGAAGUCCCCGAGAGACGACACCGUUCCAACGGCCGGUACACACCGGACUCCGACUACAACCGUCACCGGCGCAGCCCCAGCUACGACGUCUACGACUGCCACGAUAACCACCAGCGCCGCCGGCUCCGCUCUCCCGACAGAAGCCCAAGCCCAAACCCUAGACGAAGCCCCAACAAAGCCUUGGACGACGCGUUGCCCAAGCGAUUCGGCCGGCCUUACCUCGACCGCGACCACCGGAGCGGGACGCGCUCGGACUCGGAGUCCGACGAGGAACUAAAGGGCCUGACCUAUGAGGAGUACCGGAGGCUCAAAAGGCAGAAGAUGCGGAAGGCACUGAAGCAUUGUAUUUGGAACGUGACGCCGAGCCCGCCGAGGAACGAGAACGAUGAGUUGGAGGAGACGGAGGAGGAGAAAGCCGAGGAGAUCUCGGACAAGUACGGUGGAGAUAGCGGGGGAAUGAGCGAUUCGAGCUUCAAAGAGAAAGAAAAAGAGAGUAAUCGGAAAAGGAAAUCCGACUCCGAGUCUGAAGAAUCGGAGAUCGAGUCCGAAUUCGAUGAUUCCCGGUCGAGAGGGAAGAGGAAAAGUUCAAUUUCUAAGCGUAGAAAUAGAAAAUACGAAUCGGACGAGAGCGAGAGCGAGACUGAAUCUGAGGAAGAUCGAAAGCUUAGAAAGAAAUCAAGGAAAACGAGUACUCGCAGUAGUAGGAGGAGCAAGAGAAGUAGUAGUAGUAAAAGAAGAAGAAGAAAAAGGAGUAGGCAUAGCAGCGAUCCAGACGAGAUCGAGGAGAAUUCUGAUGCGAGUGAUCGAGUCAGGUCGAAGAAAAAGCGGUCUUUGAGCGCGAAUUCUGAUUCUGAGGUUGAAGAAAUGAGUAAGGUGAAGGCAGAGGAGGCAAAAACGGUUGCCGAAAUCGAUGUAGAGGCAUUGCUGUUUAAGGAAAUGAUUGAGGCGCAGAAGAAGCAACCGCCGGCUUUGGAUAACGAACAGGUGGUUGGGCCAAUGCCGCUGCCAAGAGCCGAAGGGCAUAUUAGCUACGGUGGGGCGCUUAGGCCCGGAGAAGGUGAUGCCAUUGCGCAGUAUGUGCAGCAAGGGAAGCGUAUCCCAAGAAGAGGUGAGGUCGGUCUCUCUGCGGAGGAGAUUCAGAAGUUUGAGACUCUCGGGUAUGUGAUGAGUGGUAGUAGGCACCAGAGGAUGAAUGCCAUUCGUAUUAGGAAGGAAAACCAGGUUUAUAGUGCCGAGGAUAAGAGGGCAUUGGCGAUGUUUAAUUACGAAGAGAAGGCGAAGCGUGAGCACAAGGUUAUGGCUGAUUUGCAGCGGUUAGUGCAGCGUCAUAUAGGGCAGGAUGUCGGUCCUACUCAUGAUCCCUUUAGUGCAAAGGCCUCAUCAGAUGUUGCUGAUGCUUGAUUUUACGUAUGUGGUUGGUAUCUCUACCAUUUUGCUCUUGUGUACUCAUGUAUUUUCUUAUGGUAUUCGGUUCGAUUAUUGUGUUUGAAUGUCACUUUUAAUUAUAUACUUCGGGUGAGUCUCUGUCUACUUGUGGACCAAAUACUUGUGCUUGUUAAAAAUAAAAAUAAAAAGCUAUCCCAAAAACAAGGCAUUGAAGGGAUGAACUAAUUACUACAUUUUAGUCCGUCCAUUGUGAAUCUUUUGUGGAAUUAAUUGUUGGAAUUGGAUUUGGUAGGUGAAAUUCAGUAAAUUGUCAAUCAAAUAGAUGCUAAAUGAUCUAGAAUUUUCCUUGUUCCUGCAGUUUAGUGUUUUGGACUAUUAGAUGGUGUUUAAUUUGAAAGAUCCUUUUCUUUGUAGAGUUUAGAGACUUUUAUAUGUCAGAAUUAAUAAUAGUUUUGCAAUAAACAAGUGUGGAAAUAGGCUGAGAAUUUGCGCUCCAUAUAUUGAGGAAUUUGAAACAUGUAUAGCAUGGUAGUAGGCACCAGAGGAUGAAUGCCAUUCGUAUUAGGAAGGAAAACCAAGUUUAUAGUGACGAGGAUAAGAGGGCAUUGGCAAUGUUUAAUUACGAAGAGAAGGCAAAGCGUGAGCACAAGGUUAUGGCUGAUUUGCAGCGGUUAGUGCAGUGUCAUACAGGGCAGGAUGUCGGUCCUACUCAUGAUUCCUUUGGUGCAAAGGCCUCAUCAGAUGUUGCUGAUGCUUGAUUUUACGUAUGUGGAUUCAUGGAAACCAGUUAGCAGAGAUGCCAUUCAUUGGGACCCGCCAGAUGUAUAGGUGUCAAGGGAUGUGCCGUCGGCUUCUAACUGCCGUUGAAUAUGUAUGCGCCUUGGCUCAGUCGAUACACCCUUCCCAUGGCUUGCAUAACUCAUUAAGACCCUAGGCCACCACGAACCUUACUAUGCAAUGUUUAAUUUCCUCUUUUAGCCGGACCAAUGUACUCCGCUGGGAACGAAAAUCCAGGUUUGCCUCCAAAACAGUCAAAAGGAAUGUUAGGACUGGCCCUACAAGAAAACUAGGAUUCCCGGAGACAGUCGCAGGCGCUCCCUUGCCGUUAACACCCUGUCCCCUUGGCUCCAUACCGAUUGAACUGCCGAUCUUACUCCUGAGCGUUGAAGCAAUUGUUGGAGACUGCCCCAUCCUAGCAGAGCCUUCGCAUACAACCUACCACCAACCACCACUGCCGAAGCCUUUCUCCCUCUCACUGAAAAAGGAUCACCAUACCGAACAAUUGAAAGUCAUCAUGAAUGAAACUUACGAGCAUACAAACCUCUAUGCCUAGCGCUGAAGGACGAUUCGAAAAAAGUUGAGAACUUUUGCAGCUCAAGAAUACUUCUCCAACCGUUACCUUAUCGGCCUUCUGGUAUAACAAUGAAGCCUCGAUGCCCACCAUUGCCAUAUAUCGCCAGAGCCAGAAAACAGUCGUCACUAUUGGAACUUCUCUGUGCAAUGAAAGCUGUAUUGCCAGCCCUUGAGGAUUUCAGGAAUUCCUUCAAUCGUUUCCCUAGAAUCAAAGCCUCCCAGUAGUCAACAGCCAUGCCACACUUGCCUUUCCCAAAUGAACUACUCAAGAAACACCCCUACUCCUUUCAGUGAUCUUAAAACUGAAAUCCCUUCCUCUACUGAAGGCUCAAACGAAAAAACUGCUUGAAUAUCCCAUCACUGAAAAACCAGAUAACCGGUGCUGGAAAACCAACAGACAGGAAAGACACAUCAGAAUGCGCCUACCCGCGCCGAUGGGAGACGCUAGGGAGAGAUAUAUCUAACUUUAUCUGGAGGAAGAUGAUCCAGCUUUAUUAUGUAUCUGCCAUUAAUUGAUUGUGAUUCAUACAGUAUAUAGCUCAAAGUUGGUUUGGAUUCUUAUUAAGAUGGUAGUGCUCUGAACUGAUCAUAAGACGCUGGGUAAGUGGGAAAAGGGAGUAUUUCUUUGAGGGAAAAAGAAAAUCCAUGGAGAAGUUAACUGAUAGAAUGAUUCUCGGCAGAAAUUACUUGUCUGUUGGAGCAACAUUUGGAAAGUGGGUAUACUUGUGUUAUGAGAAGAAGUGGUUCACGGUUGCAGUUUGAUCUGAGAAAGUGGUCAGUCAACUGCUUUUUUAAUUUGUGGUAGAGAUUCAUUCCCAUACCAAAAUUUAGAAAGAUAGACAAUGAAUUAUUAAUAACCUUAAAUGGCAAGAACAUUUCAACUGAUCUGGACUAUAAGGUAUUUGGGAUUAAGAGGUUAGAGGAUUUGAAAAUGUUUACGUUGGAACGAGUUCAUUAGCGCUUAAUACCAUUCAAAUUCUACAUAUAUACAUGAAGGCAGACCUGAUUUGUGUUACUAGUAUGACUGUUUGCAGGUAUACUGUAUAUUCAACACGUUCCAUGAAGUUGCUCCUGAAAUCCAUUGCCAUUGCCAGCCCAGGUAUGUACGGGGUGGCGUUGGGGGAUGCUGUUAAGAGAGAGAGUUUUGUGCUAAUUAUCAAUUUCUUUGUACAUUUCUUUUGGGGAAACGAUUGGCUCUUAGAACAAUGUGAUGAAGUCAGUGAAAUGAACAAAUAUAGGGUGUCUCAAGCAAUGCAUUGUUCGACUA